AUGUCAGAGCACCGCACGGUCUGCUCAGCGUUCCGCUCGCGGUGCCGGGCCUGCAGCGCCCGCCGCCGCCCUGCCCAUGUAUGUAGAAGCACGGGCUGUCGGGGCCGGCCGCGUGCAGCGCUGCGGAAAGCGGAGCCGGGGGAGGAGGGGACGGACGCGCCGUCCCCGGCACACGCGGUGUUUCCGCAGAACCGAAAGCGACGCACGGCGCCGGCCAGCACCCCGCCAGCUCCCCGCCCGCCCGGCCCUGCGGCUCGCCCCGCACCUGGCUCCCGCAGCACGAGCUGCCCGUCGGCCGCGUCGUCCCUCGCGGCUCUGCGCUUCGUCCACGGGUUCUCCUUGGGCGGAGGGGCUUCGGCCGCCGCCUGCCGUCGCCGCUCCUCGGGCUCGGGCUCUCGCCGGCCGCCGCUUUCCGAGGCCUCCUUCCCGCCGGUAGAAGCGGGCUCUCUCCGCCGGGCCCCUUCCGUCGGCCCGUCCCGGCCCUCGGCGCCCCAGGCCGGGCGCUCGGCGGGCGCGGCGGACACCUGCGCGGCGGACAUGCCCUGCCGGCCGCCGCGAGCGGCCCUCGGGGGAAGGGGGACGGGCGCCGAGGCGGGGCGGCCGUCUCUCCUCCUCCGGCCGCCGCCGCUCCGCCCCGUCUCCCGGGGCUCCCCUGUCAGCUCCGGCGGCCCCUCCGCCGGCGACCGCGGCGGGGGCAGGAGGGAGGAGCGAAGAGGCCGCUCGCUGCCAGCCGCCGGCUCGGAGGGCGGCGGCCACCCCGGCGGCGCGGUGAGCUCACAAGGGCCGCGCCCCGGGCUCCGUGGGGGGCGCGCGCAACGGGACGAAAGGAGGCCGGGCGGGAUUCCUUUAACGCGGGGACGGGGCCCGCUUAGCAACCGCGCUGAGAACCGCGUAACGUGGGACGCGCCUGUCGGCUCCGCUUGGAAGCGGCUGGUCAGGCGGGCGGAUGAGCUACGGCACCGGGCAGAGCGCGAGGCGCGGGCCCUGAGAGGCGGCGGCACCCACCUGGCACCGGGGUCAGCUCUCCAGCGAAGCGGGUGGGGCACGUUGGGGUUUAUUAUAGGCCUUUCCCACGUGUUGUACAGCACGACGAAGGUCUGCAAACAGCCCCUGUAG
rnacentral:lncRNA from 1 species